rnacentral:lncRNA from 1 species
UUCUAGCUACACAAGCACAAGUAUAUAAAGAAAGUAAAUACAAGCUCGUGUAUAGCGAAUGCAAACCACCGAGAAGAGUAGACAAUGUUGACACAGUGAUUUUUACCGAGGUUCACUUGGUUGCCACCAAGCUACGUCCUCGUUGUGGCGAUACACCCACUUGAUGGAUCACGAGCUAAUUGGCAUUCCAAAGCCAAACCCUCAGCGGGUGCCGCACAUCCACUCUCAAGAUGGGGAUCCUCCAAGCCACAAGCAAUCCACUAGAGUUGCUCUUCGCGAUCCCUGCGGGGUGAGCACCGUACCCCUCACAAUCUCUUCUCCGGAGCACCACACAAUCUCCUUGCGUGCUUCGACGGAGUCACAAGCCACCAAGCCGUCUAGGAGGUGGCAACCUCCAAGAGUAACAAGCACCACCGGCUUGCAACACGAACACCUAGUGCCACUCGAUGCAAUCUCUCAAUGCAACGCACUAGAAUCGCUCACUCACACAAUCGGAUGAUCACUAUCAAGCAUAUGUGAGUUAGUGGCUUUACUAGCACUCCCCAAGCAUGGACACUAAGUCCCAAGGGUGCUCAGCACUUGCCAAGGCCGGCCACAACUUCUAUUUAUAGCCCCAAGGGCUAAACUAGUCGUUACCCUUCACUGCGCAAAAGUCGACCACACCGAACGCGUCCUAGUUCACACCGGACGCGUCCGGUAUUGACCAGACCAGCGUCCGGUGCUCUUGACCGUUAGAAAACUAGCCGUUGCCUCUGACACUAACAGGGCACCGGACUCUAGCUUUUGAAAUACCGGACGCGUCCGGUGUCACACCGGACGCGUCCGGUGUGCACCGGACCCAAACUCAGGGAACGUCGCAAACUUGAGCCAACACCGGUCGCCACACCGGACGCACACACCAGACGGUCCGGUGUGCACCGGACUCACACCUAGAGAGCUCUGCAGGAAGAGUUUGCACCGGACGCCAACUCGGACGCGUCCUAGUUCACACCGAACACGUCCGGUGUGCACCGGACGCAAACUCAGAGAGUUUCACCGAGAAACGAACUCACCGAACGAGGCACACCGGACUCUAUGUGAAAACUGUUUCCGCGUCCGGUGCCUCAACUCGGACGUGUCUGACCUCAUACCGGACGCGUCCGACCUGAACGCGCGCCACGAAACGAGCUCCAACUCCUUCCCUUGCUUCCAUGUGCCAACACCAAAGUGUCUCCACACUUGUGCACGUGUGUUAGCAUUUUCACAAACAUUUUUCCAAGGGAGUUAGUCUCUCAACUUGCCACGCCACUCAAUCCUAACACGUAUACAAAGUUAGAUUGCUCAAGUGGCACUAGAUGACCGAUAUGCAAACAAGUUUGCCCCUCUUGAUAGUACGACCAUCUAUCCUAAAUCCGGUCAUAAACUUCUCUACACACCUAUGACCGGUGAAAUGGAAAUGCCCUAGGUUAUACCUUUGCCUUGCGCUUUCCAUUUCAUCUCCUCCAAUGUUGAUGCAACACAUGCACCAACCAAUCACCAAAUGAUAUGAUCCACUUCAUAUCAUCACGUGACCAUAUUGGUUCAUCGAUCUUGACCUCACUUGCUCUUCACCGUUGCCUCGGUCCAUCGGCGCCAAGUCUUGCUCAAGCUUCACCGUCACACGCGGUCCCUCACUUCGAAGCCUCCGACUUGCCCUUCACUCUUGCAACCGAUCCAUCAAGCCAAGCCUCAUCUUGAUCUUCUCCACCUUGGUCACAUGACUCCAUGUCAUGUCUCAUGUGCAAUGAGCUCCUCCAUCAUCAUAUAAUCACCUGUGGACUAAUCUCCUGUGUAUCUCACAUAAACACUAUUAGUCCACCUAAGUUGUCACUCAAUUACCAAAACCAAACAAGGACCUUUCAGAGGUGAGGCCAAAUUUGCCGAUGAAGGUGUCAAAGAAAUCUUGCCAUUUGGCGUAGUUGGACUCGGUGAUGUUGAGCUCAACAGGGAUAUGAUGGCGGAUGUUGAUGGUUUGUAGAAUAGUGGCAGAGGGGGGCUGGACGAUGGAGUCACUGCCAUUGGAGGAUUGGGAGGAAUCAUCACCGGAGAGGUCACCGUUGAUCAGGGGGUUGACAUCAGCCAUGGUGGCAAGAGAUGGGCAGCGUAAGAGAGGAGGUGCUGAUCGACAAGGAAGCGAUCGCAGGGGAGGAAAACUAUAACCUAGAACACAGAUACUGUGUAGAGAUUAG